rnacentral:lncRNA from 1 species
AAGGCUUACUCCUAACCCUUCCCAACACAGAUUUCUUAUUGUUUCUAUCCAUAUAAAUAGGAAUGUGAGGUAGUGCUUGUUUGAGUUCCUGUGCAUGGAGCCAGAGGACAGCUUGAUGGAUUCAAUGCCCUGCUGUAACGUGUCAAUCCGAGGGGUCAAACCCAGGUCAUCAGGCUUGGAGGCAACAAGUGCCUUUACCCGCUGAGCCAUUUUGCCACCCUCACGGUGUAUGUGUCUCUCUGUCUCCAUCUCCUUCUCUGACACCCCUUCUUGCUGUGUAGCCCUGGCUGGCCUAGAACUCACUACGUAGACAAGUAAUAGUGACCUCAAACCUGAAACAGAUCCAUCUGCCUCUCUCUCGAGGGCCGUGGUUACAAAGUGUGGGGCUCCCCUGUGUUAUCACCAUCUGGCUCAGAAGUGCUUGAUUCUCAUUGUAGUGCAUUAGAUGUGUGAACAGACCCGACCACCAACUCCACGGACAGUGCUGCACUGGGUAAUGUCUAGCUUCUAGUAAUUAAAAUAUUAGUGGUGCAGCCCGUUCCUAAACUAGAGAAGGCUAGAUGGGAAGAAAAAGCUGACUUAGAGCCCUUGAGGACUUGAGAAGUCUAGCUGUGUGUAUUCCAUAUUAGUUAUCUAUCUUCAGUCAUUGGUUUCUAAUCCCGAAGAGCCAGAACACCCUGAGAGUGCAGGAUUAACUCUGAGUCUGACCUUCUCCCGUGUAAUAUCACUCCAACUGUCAUCUGUCCCCAGGGUAGCAGUGAGCUAGGUCUUGCCCUAGAAACACAUUCAGUAAGUGUAGUAUGGUAUUCUUGUUUCUCCUUCGAAAACAAAACAAAAGCUUUUGAGAGAGACAUGGUGACACGUGCCUUUAAUCCCAACACUCAGGAGGCAGAGGCAGACAGAUCUCUGAGUUUGAGGCCAGCCUGGUCUACAUGGUGAGUUCCAGGACAGCCCAGGGUAAACAGUAAGACCAUCUCAAAAAAAGAAACUAUUGAAUGACGUGAUCCUUUUCACUUUGGGUCAUGACUGCCCACCCAUGAACACCCUCACCUUGUGAAAUCCAUUGCCCUCCACUCCCUUUUUUUUAAAAAUUAGGUACGUGUUUCUUUUUAUUUGGGGGAUAGAUCCAGACUGGCAUUGAAAUUAAGACGCUGGCCUCCCCCUUCUAAGCACGGAGCUCACAGGUGUAUACCACCACCACACCGAGCUCCUUUCUGCCUAUGGGAUGUCUUUGGCUUCUGGCUGGGAGUCCACAAGACCAUCAUUCUUGUGGCCAUGGUGUGUUCCUCUGGAAGAAUUCCAAGCAGAGGGAAGAGGCCCAGGAGCAGAGUGCAAAACACCAGAUCCAAGCGUUGAAGGAGACUUAGGAAGUGGAGCCUCUCAAGAUGCGUCCAGUUCUCCAACGUUAAGUAUACGGGUGAAAGCAGUGCUGCCUGCCAAGGCUUAAGACUCAGUGCCCAUGGCUUCCAUGCUGGGGUGGGGAGGACUGGCUACAUAAGCACCUUCUGCCUGCCUUACACCCAAAUGCCACACUUCCAGCAGUAACCACAAGCAAACCACAUUGUUUGUGCAGACAGUGUAGAAACAGUGAGCCAUUCUUAGCAGUUCUGGAAUUGGGGCAUGGGAGGGGCUAUCUGGCAGUACACACUUCCAGAUGGCGGGCAAGAGGAAGACUCGUGAGAGUCCUAAAGCCACAGGCAGUUCGACCUGCUGCGAUACCUCAGCACAUCACUGCACACCCUGACUUUGUCCCUUGUCCAGUGAUCUUUUCCGCUCAUCCCCUCCUAUGUAACACCAUGGACACACCUGUCCAUCCACCCCGUCUGCAGUAGCUCUGAGUGUUGGCUGUCACUCACUUUGGGCUUCAGCUGGUUGGUGGGAGGUGAGGCACCAGGAAUGUAACUCCGGGUCUGGGAUCUUUCUUUCUCGACUUUAUGAGCUUCUUCCUUUCUGUUCCUCCCUGCCAGUCUCCAGCCAGCCCAGACAUCAUAAUCCAUCAUUUAUAUUGCAGAUACUCUGAAGUCCCACUUGUCUAUACAGUCACUCUUCACCUAGAAGGGAAUCAUAGUUGAAGGGUGGGGGGUGCAGCUUAAUGGUAGAGCACUUGCCUAGUGUGCACAAGACCCUCCCUGGUUUCAGCGCCCAGCAACAAAUAGUUGGGAAAUGGAUACUACUGUAAUAUGAGUCUUCCUCUCCUGGGCCUGGACAUGGCCAGCAACACAUAUUUGUGUAAUCACCUCUCUGCAGACAGCAAGUGGUCUGACCAGCGACUUCAAAGAGAACUGAAAGCUAUCUGACAGAGACUGCCCCCACAAUCUAAACCACCCUUGUCUGCCUCCGGCCUUCCCUGGGGACCCUACUUUAAAAAGACCUGUCAACAGUUUUGCCUGUGCCCUGGCACCCUAUCCACCUCCCAGAUUUAAAUUACAGACUCACUCAGCUUCUUUCGUGAGAAGCCUUUCCAUUAUUAGUUAAUUGCUGUGCUAGUGUACUAUUUUAUGUUGUAUACAGAAUUACUUUCAUACUGUAGUAGCUACACGGCACAUUUGCCUUUAUGCUUUUUUGGGGGGACACUGGGGUUUGAGCUCAAUCUUGCACUUAGCAGCCAGGUCCUUUACCACUGUGCUUCACUCCCAGACUAUUUUAGAAAGGGUCCCACUAUGUAGCCUUAGCUGACUUUAGACUUAGAGGUCUGCCUGCCUCCAUCUCCCAAGUGGUGUAGCUCACAACCCCCUGUAACUACAGCUCCAAAGGUCCUGGUGCUCGCUCCUGGACUCAGCAGGCACUCAGGCAUGUGUCACACAGACAUACACACACACACACACACACACACACACACCAUGAAUUUUAAAAAAUGGUUUUUAAGAUUUGUGUGCCGGGCGUGGUGGCGCACGCCUUUAAUCCCAGCACUUGGGAGGCAGAGGCAGGUGGAUUUCUGAGUUCGAGGCCAGCCUAGUCUACAGAAUGAGUUCCAGGACAGCCAGGGCUACACAGAGAAACCCUGUCUCAAAAAACAAAAAAAAAAAAAAAAACAAAAAAAAAAAAAAAGAUUUGUUUUGUGUGUGAGAAUGUUUUAUCUGCAUGUGUAUAUGUGCACUACAUGUGUGCCUGGGGCCCAUGGAGUUGAGAACAAGGUGUUAGAUCCCCUGGAACUGGAGUUAUACACAGUUGUGAGCUGCCAUGUGGGUGCUGGGAAUCAAAUCUGAGUCCUCAGAAGUGCUUUUAUUCACUGAACCAUCUCUUUAGUUCCCAAAAUCAAAAUCUUUAAAAAUUGUAUUUUUUAAAAACUGGACAUGGUGGUACGUGCUUUGAAUGAGGAAGCAGAGGCAGGUGGCUGUCUAUGAUCUGGAAGACAGCUUGUUUUGCAUAGGAAGUUCCAGGCCAGCCACGGAUACAUAGUGAAACCCUGUCU